rnacentral:sRNA from 1 species
UUGACAGUGCUGGAGACUGGAGACUAUUUAUCAACCGAACAGUUACAAUACAGGCACAGGGCUAUCUAGCUUCCUCAUCCCACCACCUUACCCUGGAGGGACCACCUUUACCAAUGAGAGCAUAAUUCAGUCUCCAUGCUCAUUCAACCCUUGGCCUCU